GGAGGAGACUCUGGAGAGACCCGUUAGUUCGGGCGCCGAAGGAGCAAGCUUGUUUUCAAGUGAAACUCUCAGGCAAAAGGACAGAGGAGAUACC
rnacentral:ncRNA from 2 species